GAGAGAAGGAGACCAGGGAGAAGAAGGAUGGUGAGGAGGAGAGGAAACAUAGCAGGUUGCCAUGACGAGGAAGCAGGGGAAUAAAACACAAACAAAGGCGGGUGGCACCGGGGUUGUCAGCAGUGAGAGCAGUGACAGCUUCCCUGGCAUGCCUGGCACCCUCUGCUGCAGAAGUCUGGUGGACAGAGAAACUCAGACUCCUCUCCGCCGCUUACAAUGUACAAUAAGUCAUGGUCCACUGGUUGUGACAGGAAGACCACCUGUGGCCAGGCAGACUGUGACCUAAAUGGAGCUUAUGGCAGCUCACAGAUGGGCCUGCCGGAUAAUGUUGGAAAGACAAUAACUGCUGAGGACAAGCCGACAUACUGUGGAGGACCUGGCAAAGGAGAGCUGGCUAUUUGUAAUUGGGGGGGGGGAGACAAAGAUGAUAUAAGAUUUAUUGAACCAACACAGCAGAGCAAAUGAACAACAAAUGAACAGAGCUCAGUGAAGGAUAAAAUAACACAGUGGAGAGGAGGCGUCCACAAGCAGCAGUAAAAGCAGUCCUGUAUCGAUCCGGAGCAGUGAGCCUGCCAGCUACUGCUACCUUCCUCUUUCCAGGAAGACUCUGCACAUACAGGAUAGACCUUAAGGCAUCUCAUUGUACCCUGUUUGUGUGUGUAUGUGUGUGUGUGUGUGUGUGUGUGUGUGUGUAUGCACGAGUUAAAGAAUGUGUGCAUAUUUUGCCCUCAGCCUGUGGUCUCAGAACUCAGGGAGAGUCAGUAGGUCUCUUAGUUUACAAAUAUGCACUACAUAAAUCAAAGGACCAGUCUAUACUGUGUAUUAUAAGAAUGCAGUUUAAGUCACUUUUAAGCAUUUUGUUCAUGAUGAAUAUCCAUCACUGAACAGGACUGCACACUAUUGGUAGAUGUAUAAUCCUGAUUGCAUAUGAAUUAAGUGGAAAUGGGUUGAAAUGUCACAGUGCACAGUGACUCAGUUAACCACCUGGAAUAUAUGACACCACGUCUCCUCUGGUGAAGACAGGACAUCCCUGGCAUGGGGGAACUGGGUCAAGACUGAAAUAUUCAUGGUGUAGACUCUAUCACACACAAACACACACACACACACACACACAAUCACACAUAUUCACACUGGGACAGACCUCAGAACUGGGAGCUGCCAGCCUGUUGCUGGGGUGUAGAACUGAGCUGGGGCAGCUAAGCUUCCUAGUUUGUGUGUGUGUGUGAGAGAGAGAGAGAGAGAGAGAGACUAAGUGUGUGUAUGUGUAAUGUAACCUGUUGUCAGGAGAUAAGGUGACAGCAACUGGGUACACAGAUAUAUCCAUUUCAAGUCUGCUCGCUAAUGUUUGGUCACUAACUCGGCCCAAACCCGACGGAGCCUAAGGUUAUUUACAUGUCUGUGCCAGCAUAGGUCCAUUUUCACGUGUGUAGUGAGGGUUUGGGUUCAGGUUUGAGCCUUUAAUUCAAAUAUUAUCAUUAAACAUCAGAUGUUACCAUUAAACUCGCUCCUGUGGUUUUACUAUUUUGAAAUAUUAGAGGGGAGGAUAACACAUGUCAAAAUAUUAAUAACAUUGUGAAACAUUACCUUCACUACUGAAAUCCUUCAAUAAUAAGUUCCAUUCCAUUCAACAGCACUGAUUCCCUUUCCUUUCCUUUUUUUUUUUUUAAUUUCCUUGGACACCUGCUGUCUUUAACCAAAAGAAAACAUGCCUGUUAAAAAGGUGAACUCUCUGUAGCAUGGAUGUAGACUACUGCUGCUCCAGUGUCCCCGCCUUUGUGAAUGACGCCAUGUCACAGAAAUACUUCCCAUCGUCACUGUGUGGUAUUUUGUCAAAGGCAGACAGUAAUUUAAAAGCAAUUCCCAGGAUGGAGGGACAUGGACAAAUGGUUAAAUAUGAGGUUAAAAAAGUACUUUUUUUUUCUUUUUCUCUUAAUGCAGAAAGAAAAAAAUAAUAUGGAGUAUAAAACAAAAGACUCUGUAAUAUGCUAAAGUGAGCGGUAACUGUCACUACACCACUGCAGCACAUGUUAAUGAGAUUUGAUUACUGUAGAUCUCUGUUUAAACUUUGCCUAUCACUGUAUCCAGAAAAUGUAUGUAUGGUAAGAUCAAAAUUCCUAAAUUUCCUCUAUCUUGUUCUCAUGGAUGUGAAGGGCAUUGACAAAAAGAACGACUGAGGUCAGUUUAACAGUUGUUUUUUUUUUUUUUGUUUUGUUUUUGUCCAGCUACUGUUUAGUAGCUGUUCUGAAGCUUUUCAUCAUAUCAUGUUUGCCUAGUUGUUGUGGUAUUAUAUAUGCUCACAUUUCCAUCUCCAUGAAUAAAACUUUUAGAACAUUAUUAAUGAUAUUGUCAGGUUUUUGUCUUUAAUUAUAUUUAGGUCACUGCUCAUUCUUCUGAGCUAAAAACAACAUAAGUACAUGUUUGUCUAUACUAUCACUAUUGCCUAUACCUAUAAUAAGAAAGUGGGUUUGCAACAAAGUUUGAAUCAACAGCAUCUACUGUAUCAUCACAUCCUUACAUUAUGCAGUAAGAUUUUUAAACAUCUUGUUGUUUCACCUCGCCUGGUGUUCAGUAUGUUCAACACUGUAAACAGAUGUUAUUGCUAUACAGGAAUAAAGUUUGUGCUUCCCAAAUGCCACAGUGGAACAGAAAGAAUCAGACUCAGCACUGUUCCUACCUCUGCUUUACACCCGACAUGCACACAUGCCACACACACACACACACACACAGACACACACAAACAUGCACACACACACACACAUGGUGAACCGAGAACACAGCCCCAGCACAGCGGCACAAACAAACACACUAAAAAUACAAACUACGCAUAUCCAAACACUCUCACUCCUUAAUGAGCUAGCACUUUUAAGAAAAGACUCCGCCACAACUCUAUACCACACAC